rnacentral:rRNA from 1 species
GAUGAACGCUGGCGGCGUGCUUAACACAUGCAAGUCGAGCGAAGCGGCUGAAUUGAUUCUUCGGAUGAUUUUCAGUUGACUGAGCGGCGGACGGGUGAGUAACGCGUGGGUGACCUGCCCCAUACCGGGGGAUAACAGCUGGAAACGGCUGCUAAUACCGCAUAAGCGCACAGAGCUGCAUGGCUCGGUGUGAAAAACUCCGGUGGUAUGGGAUGGUCCCGCGUCUGAUUAGGCAGUUGGCGGGGUAACGGCCCACCAAACCGACGAUCAGUAGCCGGCCUGAGAGGGCGACCGGCCACAUUGGGACUGAGACACGGCCCAAACUCCUACGGGAGGCAGCAGUGGGGAAUAUUGCACAAUGGGGGAAACCCUGAUGCAGCGACGCCGCGUGAGCGAAGAAGUAUUUCGGUAUGUAAAGCUCUAUCAGCAGGGAAGAUAAUGACGGUACCUGACUAAGAAGCCCCGGCUAACUACGUGCCAGCAGCCGCGGUAAUACGUAGGGGGCAAGCGUUAUCCGGAUUUACUGGGUGUAAAGGGAGCGUAGACGGCAAGGCAAGUCUGAUGUGAAAACCCAGGGCUUAACCCUGGGACUGCAUUGGAAACUGUCUGGCUCGAGUGCCGGAGAGGUAAGCGGAAUUCCUAGUGUAGCGGUGAAAUGCGUAGAUAUUAGGAAGAACACCAGUGGCGAAGGCGGCUUACUGGACGGUAACUGACGUUGAGGCUCGAAAGCGUGGGGAGCAAACAGGAUUAGAUACCCUGGUAGUCCACGCCGUAA